rnacentral:rRNA from 1 species
UACAGAGGUCUCAAGCGUUGUUCGGAAUCACUGGGCGUAAAGGGUGCGUAGGCGGCGCGGAAAGUUGGGUGUGAAAUCCCUCGGCUCAACCGAGGAACUGCGCCCAAAACUACCGUGCUCGAGGGAGAUAGAGGUGAGCGGAACUUAGGGUGGAGCGGUGAAAUGCGUUGAUAUCCUAAGGAACACCCGUGGCGAAAGCGGCUCACUGGGUCUCUUCUGACGCUGAGGCACGAAAGCUAGGGUAGCGAACGGG